rnacentral:rRNA from 1 species
AGUGAACGCUGGCGGUAGGCUUAACACAUGCAAGUUGAACGGCAGCACAGUAAUAGCUUGCCCUUACGGGCGGAGAGUGGCGGACGGGUGAGGAAACCAUCGGAAUCUACCUUUUCGAGGUGGAGAACGUAGGGCAACUUACGCUAAUACAGCAUACGACCUACGGGUGAAAUCAGAGGAUCUUCGGACCUUGCGCGGAUGCAUGAGCCCAUGUCGGUUUAGUUAGGUGGUGGGGUAAAAGCCCACCAAGGCGACGAUCGGUUGCUGGUCUGAGGGGAUGAAGAGCGACACUGGGAGUGAGACACGACCCAGGCACUUACGGGAGGCAGCGAUGGGUACUGUUGGACGAAGGGCGGAAGACUGAACCAGCCGUGCCACGUGGGUGAAGAAGGCCUUCGGGUUGUAUAGCCCUUUUGGUGGGAAAGAAAGGCUGCAGGUUAAGACCCGGCUGUUGUGACGGUACCCGAAGAAGAAGCACCGGCUAACUUCGUG